GUGUUUUAUCUUUGAGGCUCAAGGAAGAAGGGACUGCUUGUCUAACCCAAGUCAGACAAGUUAGGAGCUUGCUGAAAGGCCCUUACAGCGAGCAGGCUCUGGUUGGAGGAUGGCAUGUCUAUCAUGUUGCUAAACACAUGCUUCCAGCCAGGGAACCUCCCUCCUCAACGCCUGCUUAGUUGCUCCUUGAUAAUCAAUUACAACAGAGUCCAGUAAUUAAGCUAAUGAUGACAACGACUAUGGACUAUUGUCUGCUCACAGGAGCUACGAUUCAGUCUCUCUCUGCCCAUGACGGCAACUCCAAAGCUGUCAGGAUGAUGCCAGGGCACACGUGUGUGUGAGCAGAGACCCUACCUGUGGCCCCCAUCCGUGGCAUGGGUACAGUAUGGCCGUGUGGUUCUCCAAGGGGCCCUGGUCCAGGCAGACAUCUUUUGCCUUGUUGUUUCGCA